CCCUAGCCCUGAUGGAAGUGGCAUCCUUUUGUGCCGGUGUUCGGCAUAAAAGAUACAGCGUACAGCAGGAAUCAGC
rnacentral:sRNA from 1 species